rnacentral:rRNA from 1 species
GAUGAACGCUGGCGGCGUGCCUAAUACAUGCAAGUCGAGCGAAUGGAUUGAGAGCUUGCUCUUAUGAAGUUAGCGGCGGACGGGUGAGUAACACGUGGGUAACCUGCCCAUAAGACUGGGAUAACUCCGGGAAACCGGGGCUAAUACCGGAUAACAUUUUGAACCGCAUGGUUCGAAAUUGAAAGGCGGCUUCGGCUGUCACUUAUGGAUGGACCCGCGGCGCAUUAGCUAGUUGGUGAGGUAACGGCUCACCAAGGCAACGAUGCGUAGCCGCCGUGAGAGGGCAAUCGGCCACACUGGGACUGAGACACGGCCCAGACUCCGACGGGAGGCAGGAGUAGGGAAUCUUCCGCAAUGGACGAAAGUAGGACGGAGCAACGCCGCGUGAGUGAUGAAGGCUUUCGGGUCGUAAAACUCUGUUGUUAGGGAAGAACAAGUGCUAGUUGAAUAAGCUGGCACCUUGACGGUACCUAACCAGAAAGCCACGGCUAACUACGUGCCAGCCGCCACCGUAA